UUGAAUAUUAUCACAUUAGUGAUUCUUGUAAUUUCAUGCAUGGGAAAUUCCCCAGCUAUAUUUCUCACAUAAAACAAAAUUUUAACUUUGACCGUCCAUAGAAUACAAAUAGUCAUCAUGGGAGCAGAACAGUCAACGCAGUCAUGCAACAAUGGCAAAAAUCAACAAACACAAAAUCAACAACCACGAUACCUUAAUCAACGUAUGCAGCAGCAGUGGAGACAGCAACAGCAAAACAGAAAUUUUACCAAUACGUCAGAGAAAGAAAUUAAUAAACCGCGAACUGCUCCAGUCAGAAUGGCACAACUUCAACGGUGGUGAAGAUUAUAUGUUUUAAAUACAAAUGUAUUUUAUGUAAUUCGUUUUUACAUCCUUUACUAUAUAUAACA